GUGGGGAAUAUUGGACAAUGGGCGCAAGCCUGAUCCAGCAAUGCCGCGUGAGUGAAGAAGGCCUUAGGGUUGUAAAGCUCUUUCGGCGGGGACGAUGAUGACGGUACCCGCAGAAGAAGCCCCGGCUAACUCCGUGCCAGCAGCCGCGGUAAUACGGAGGGGGCUAGCGUUGUUCGGAAUUACUGGGCGUAAAGGGCGCGUAGGCGGUUCAUCAAGUCGGGCGUGAAAGGCCUGGGCUCAACCCGGGAAUGGCGCUCGAGACUGGUGGGCUUGGAGUCCGGGAGAGGAUGGUGGAAUUCCCAGUGUAGAGGUGAAAUUCGUAGAUAUUGGGAAGAACACCGGUGGCGAAGGCGGCCAUCUGGACCGGUACUGACGCUGAGGCGCGAAAGCGUGGGGAGCAAACAGGAUUAGAAACCCUAGUAGUCC
rnacentral:rRNA from 1 species